AUGAGGUUUAGGUCUGAGAGAGUGAGGAACAGUCCAGAAAGAGCGAGAACCUGUGCUUCAGUGAAGUCUCUGCUAGGAUCCAGUGGAGAUGUUGUGAUGACCCAGACUCCAAGGUCCUUGCCUGUCACCCUGGGAGAUCCAGCCUCCAUCUCCUGCAAGUCUAGUCAGAGCCUUCUGCAUAGCAAUGGAAACACCUAUUUGCAUUGGUUCCUACAGAAGCCAGGCCAGUCUCCACAUCGCCUGAUCUAUUUGGUUUCCAAACGAGACUCUGGGGUCCCAGACAGAUUCAGUGGCAGUGGGUCAGGCACAGAUUUCACACUGACAAUCAGCAGGGUGGAAGCUGAGGAUGUUGGAGUUUAUUACUGCAUGCAAGCUACACAUCUUCCUCCCACAGUGAUACAGCCUUGA